UACGGGGGGGGCAAGCGUUGUUCGGAAUUACUGGGCGUAAAGGGCGCGUAGGCGGCCUGUUAAGUCGAACGUGAAAUCCCCGGGCUCAACCCGGGAACUGCGUCCGAUACUGGCAGGCUUGAAUCCGGGAGAGGGAUGCGGAAUUCCAGGUGUAGCGGUGAAAUGCGUAGAUAUCUGGAGGAACACCGGUGGCGAAGGCGGCACUCUGGGUCGGCCCUGACGCUGAGGCGCGAAAGCGUGGGGAGCGAACGGG
rnacentral:rRNA from 1 species